GGGGAAUAUUGGACAAUGGGCGGAAGCCUGAUCCAGCCAUGCCGCGUGUGUGAAGAAGGCCUUAGGGUUGUAAAGCACUUUCAGGGGUGAGGAAGGGUAGCUAGUUAAUACCUAGUUAUCUUGACGUUAGCCCCAGAAGAAGCACCGGCUAACUCUGUG
rnacentral:rRNA from 1 species